UACGAAGGGGGCUAGCGUUGCUCGGAAUCACUGGGCGUAAAGCGCACGUAGGCGGCUUGUUAAGUCGGGGGUGAAAUCCUGGAGCUCAACUCCAGAACUGCCCUCGAUACUGAUGAGCUCGAGUCCGGGGAGAGGUGAGUGGAACUGCGAGUGUAGAGGUGAAAUUCGUAGAUAUUCGCAAGAACACCAGUGGCGAAGGCGGCUCACUGGCCCGGUACUGACGCUGAGGUGCGAAAGCGUGGGGAGCAAACAGG
rnacentral:rRNA from 1 species